rnacentral:rRNA from 1 species
AAGAGCUCAUCAUUGGAAUCUGGCAGCGUUGCGCUGUCCGAGUUGUAGAUGAGAAGAGUAGGACAUCUGGACUGCAUGGUGUCCAAGUACAAUAGGCCGUCAGUGGGACAUCAUAGAGGGUGACAAUCCCGUCCUUGACACCAAUGUACGAGUCCUUUACGAUGCCUAUCUCGGAGAGUCGAGCAGUUUGGGAUUUGCUGCUUAAACACGGGAGGUAGAUUCCUUCCAAAGCUAAAUACAGGCAAGAGACCGAUAGUGAACAAGUACCGCAAGGGAAAGAUGAAAUAGAACUCUGUGAAGGGAGUCAAAAAGACGUGAAAUUGUUGCGAGAGAAGCGAUUCAAGUCAGCGUAGCUGGGCCCAUCAAGCCUCGCGCUUUGGACCAGCUUUGCCAGCGGUCUUGUCCCCAGAGACUUGACUAAGGUGCCCUGCCCGGUCUAACGGACAGACCUCCCCGCUGGGGAGGCCAGUGGCAUGGCUGGUGGAAUGGCUUGCAAUCGACCCGUCU